GGAGAAGUUGUUGUGCUUGAAGUAGUUGGGGAGGAUGUCGCGUGCGAACUCCGGCGGCCGGAAGACCACGAAGGUGGAGGCCCGGUCGUCUCCCCAGGAGACGAUGUGGUCCGUGGCCGGGUCGUCCACCAGCUGGUACGUCUUGAUCAGGAACGGCGCCGGCACCGCCUUCUGCGCGGCCGCCUGCGCAGCCGCGUCGCAGUCCCAGCUCCCGCUCCUCUCCAUCACUCUCACUCCUUCCUACCUACACUACAGGAGUCGAAGCGUCGACCAAGGUUUCUUGGGGUUUUAACUUCU
rnacentral:misc_RNA from 1 species